AGUGUGGGCACGAGCUGAGAAGGAAAUGAGAAGGGAAAAGAGGAAGAGACAUAUUUAAGUCAGGCUACGGCCACAGUCAAAGUGAGAAGAAGGAAGCAGCAGAACACUAUGGCGAUGACCUCUAUGGCAGUUAUGAAAACAUCUGUGGAAGAGACAAGGCCGGUGAAACAUUAUAUACUUUAAUGGCAGCACAGAGAAGUUUACUGGAGGAGUCCCUCUUGAUGACCAGCAAGUUACAUUCCCAUGGUAACUGUCUCCCACUUUGGAGAUGGAGAAGGAGAUCCUUGGUGUUGAAACAUGGACUGAUGGCAGAAUGAAGAGGAGAGAAGAUGGGGAGAGUGAUGAUACAAUACAUAUCAGCCAGUGGUGAAACUUUGUACAAAUCUAAUCAAAAUGUCAGUGGUAUGACCCCUCUGAUGUCAUAGUGACCUUUUGGAAGAAUGCUGCAGGUUGGUCCCCUUGGAGAUCGGUGCCUGUGGCUAUCCG